AGGUAAUUCAACAGAGAAAGGGUAGAUAGCCUUUUCACAAAAUAAGCCUUCUCAUACCUUACACCACAUACAAAAAAAAUUUAAAUGGAUCAUAGAUUUGAAUAUAACAUGUAAGACUAUAAAUCUCUUUGAAGAAAACAUAGGAGAAAUCUGUUACAAUGGGUUCAUCACAGAGUUUUUACAAAUCAAAAUCAUGACCAUAAAAGAGAAUAUUGAUUAAUUGAACCUAUCAAAAUUUUACAAUUCUGCUCUGUGAAAGACACUUUAUGCAAGUGAAAAGAUAACCUAUGGCAUGGGGAAAACGUCUGCAAAUCAUUUAUCUGGUGAAUUACUUGCAUUGAGAAUAUUUAAAAACUCUCUAAACUCAAUAAUAGGAAAACUAACAGCACAACAAAAGAUAUUCACAACAUUUAAACAGACACAUAUAUUUAUGGUAAAUAAGCACAUGAAAAGAUGGUCAAUAUCAUUAAUCACUAGAAAAAUGCAAAUCAAUACCACAGUAAGCUACACACAUGUUAAAAUGCUUUAAAAUUUUAAAAACAGGUAACAUCAAAUGCUUGUUAGGAUGUGGAGCAGCUCUCACGCAUGGCUAAUAGGAAUUUGAAAUGAGACAGCCAUUUUGGAAGAAGAUUCGGUCGUUUUUUUUAAGUUAAUACUUUAAGAAGCCUCAUAGUUUUCUUUAACAGAUCAUAGUAGAUGACCCAGCAAUGUCAUGAGUAGACAUUUACCCAAGUGAAUUCUGAAAUUUAAGUUCACAUGGCAUUACUUAUGAUCACCAAAAACUGGAAACAGCCCUCUGUGGAGAGAAUAAUGAUCCCUCACAGAUAUCUGCAUCUUAGUCUCCAGAGCCUGUGAAGAAUAUGUUAGUAACACGGAAAAAGGGUAUCAAGGUUUCAGAUGAAUUAAAUUUGCUAAUCUGCUGACUUUAACAUAGGGACAUCAUUCUGGAAUGAUCCAGGUGGGAUAAAGGUAAUCACAAGGGUCCUUAAAAGUGAAGGAGGCUCUGGGAGUCAGAACCAGAGAGAUGGCAGUGUGAGCAGGACUCAGCCUGACAUCGCUGACUUUGAAGAUGGAAAAAGACAGUCACAGGCCAAGGAAUGGGGAUGCUUUUGAAAAGUUGGAAAGGACCAUGAAAUGGCUUCUCUCCUGGAUGCUCCAGAGAGGAAUGUGGCGCUGCUGACAUUGAUCUGAGCCUGGUGAGACCCAUUUUGGUUCUCUGAACCUCCAUUCCCUUAAGAUAAUAAAUUUGGGCUAUUUUAAGCCAUUACGUUAGUGGUAACAUCACUGCAGCAUUAGAAAACGAACAUAUAUUUAGAUGUCCUAUGACAGAAGAACAGAUAAACCAUGGUCCACCUGUACAAUAGAAUACUUCUCAACAACAAAAAUGAAACAAAUUGUUUAUUCAUGGAACAACAGGAAUGAAACUUAACACUAUUUUACUGAGUUAAAGUAGCCAGAUUCGCACGGCAUUUAUACAAAAUGGCAUUCAGGCAAAAUGAAAAUGAUAGGGAUGGACACAGAUAAGUGGUUGCCAGGGUUUAGCAUUGUAGGAAUGGGCCUUCUCCAAAAGGACAGCACAAGAGGAUUGGGGGGGAAAUAGAAGCGUUCUGUAUGAUACAUGACUAUAUGAAUUUGUCAAAACCCACACAACCGUAUACCACCAAAAGGGAACUUUAACUGUGUGCAAAUUAAAAAAAAAAUGUCCAUCAGGAAGUUAGAGAACCUGCAGGGGGAAAUAAUUGUAUGUAUCUUUCAGUUUGAUAACAAAAAUAAAAGUUAAUGGAAAAAUCACUUAUAUUCCUGCCUCCGAGGGAAGCACUGUCAACUGGCAAUGUGUGUAUUCCCAGAGUCUUUCUGUUCGUAUAGAUAAAUAGAGACAGUAGAGAUUACUUGCAAGUUCAUCCAGACAUCCUGAACAAAUUUUCAUCUUGUUUCAAAAUCCUGUAUGGUUUUUAAGGUCUCCCUUGUGCCUUUCUUUCCUAUGGUGUCUGUCAAGUUCUCACAUUGUUCAUUUGUUGUGAUUAUCUAAACCAGUGUCAUUAAUGCUGUGUUCUUUCAAUUGCUGAGAUUACAAAUUAGCCCUCAUCUAAAGUGGCUUGCUUCUUUCUUGUGCUUUAGUUAUCUACUGCUGUGUGCCAAUUCUACCACAAAGUUAACAGCUUUAGAAAACAUAGAUAUAUUAUCUCACAGUUUCUGGGGGUCAUGAGUGCAGGCACAGCUGAGCUUGCUCCUCUGGCUGAGGGUCAGAUAAGGCUGCAAUCAAGUUGUGGGUCAGAGCAGAGUUCUCACCUGGAGGCCACUCACAGUUCCUUGCCAUGUUUGGUUUCCUAUCCUUGCUGCUUGCUCCUUACUGCCAGCAAGGGAGAGAAAGAGAUUCCAGCAAGACAGGUGUGAAGUCCUACAUAGCAUAAUCACAUAAUCAGGUACACAUAGUCACACACAGCAUGUCAUUUUUGCAAAUAACAGUUCCUGCCCACACUUAAUGGGAGAGGAACAUACAAGGAUGUGAACACCAGAUGGUGAGGAUGCUGGGGGGACCACAAAUGUGUUCAAGCAUCUGCUGAGAAAAGUCUUUGGUGGUCCUGCUGCUUACAGUGAUGGUGGCCUCUCAGAGACCUCUAAAAGGUUCUUUUCUUAUCUUUAAUGUCCACCUUCAUUUCUAGUUUAUUUGGGGUGAGUAGUCUCUUUCUACUUCUCAGGGAAAAUGCUUUUCCCUUGCACCAAACAGCUGAGUGGUCCCUUCUUACUCAGUUCUUCUUUGCUCUUCAGGUGGAAACACCUUACAUGUGUGAGGUGUCCGGAUCUGCUGCCGAUAAAAAGUUUCAUAUUUUAUAGAUCAUUUUGUUAAUUUUCAGCAAGAAUCUGGAAG
ensembl:lncRNA